UUUCAAAAAAAGUGGACAAUCAUAAGGUCCAUAAUGAUGUGUGGAGUUACAUAAAAGUACUGACACCAACAGAUGGUGAUACAGAAAUAAUUAACUGACUUUUUUGUCAGCUUACUCCCACAAACUUUAGUGUAUGACAUUUUGAUGCUAUGUCACAGGUCAACACAAAACAGUGCAUGAUUGUGAGAUAGAAAAUAACAAAUAGAUGGUUUUUGCACAUUCUCUCCAUUUUUUAAUGACUUGAACUGAGCUCUGUGGGCAUGCUGUUUUUUUUUAACAAUCAUUCCAUGUUUUAAACUUAUUACUCAUUCCUUUAAUUUUGCUGUUAUAAUAAAACAAAACAUGAAAGUUCAAGAGGCAUGAAUACUUUUCCAAGGGUGCAGGAAUAAUAAAAGAAAUCAAAAUAAAGUCAGUGACAUCCAGUUUUCAUGACUAAUUUUUAAAAUAUAAUUUUACUUAUGCAGGGUGACUCUGGUGGACCCCUGAAUUGCAGGGUCAACGGCCAGUGGGUGGUCCACGGAGUGACCAGCUUUGUGUCUUCCCUUGGCUGUAACACCUACCGGAAACCCACCGUCUUUACCCGUGCUUCUGCUUACAUCAGCUGGAUGAACAGCAUCAUGGGUUAAGAAGAAAAGCAAUAUCUGUGGAAAAAAGAACAUUCUGGAUUCUUUUCUCACUCCAUCAAAAUAAAAGUCAUAAAAAUGG